rnacentral:rRNA from 1 species
AGUGAACGCUGGCGGUAGGCCUAACACAUGCAAGUCGAACGGCAGCACAGUAAGAGCUUGCUCUUACGGGUGGCGAGUGGCGGACGGGUGAGGAAUACAUCGGAAUCUACUUUUUCGUGGGGGAUAACGUAGGGAAACUUACGCUAAUACCGCAUACGACCUACGGGUGAAAGCAGGGGAUCUUCGGACCUUGCGCGAUUGAAUGAGCCGAUGUCGGAUUAGCUAGUUGGCGGGGUAAAGGCCCACCAAGGCGACGAUCCGUAGCUGGUCUGAGAGGAUGAUCAGCCACACUGGAACUGAGACACGGUCCAGACUCCUACGGGAGGCAGCAGUGGGGAAUAUUGGACAAUGGGCGCAAGCCUGAUCCAGCCAUACCGCGUGGGUGAAGAAGGCCUUCGGGUUGCAAAGCCCUUUUGUUGGGAAAGAAAAGUAGCAGGUUAAUACCCCGCUGUUCUGACGGUACCCAAAGAAUAAGCACCGGCUAACUUCGUG